CACGGUCCGAGUUGUAAUUUGUAGAGGAUGCUUCGAGCAUGGUCUGGCCUAAGUUCCUUGGAACAGGACGUCAUAGAGGGUGAGAAUCCCGUAUGCGGCCAGGUGCCUACGCUCAUGUGAAGCUCCUUCGACGAGUCGAGUUGUUUGGGAAUGCAGCUCAAAAUGGGUGGUAAAUUUCAUCUAAAGCUAAAUAUUGGCCAGAGACCGAUAGCGCACAAGUAGAGUGAUCGAAAGAUGAAAAGCACUUUGGAAAGAGAGUUAAACAGUACGUGAAAUUGUUGAAAGGGAAGCGCUUGCAACCAGACUUGCGCGCGGCCGAUCAUCCGGUGUUCUCACCGGUGCACUCGGCCGUGCUCAGGCCAGCAUCGGUUUUGGCGGCUGGAUAAAGGCCCUAGGAAUGUAGCUCCUCUCGGGGAGUGUUAUAGCCUAGGGUGCAAUGCAGCCUGCUUGGACCGAGGACCGCGCUUCGGCUAGGAUGCUGGCGUAAUGGUUGUAAGCGGCCCGUCUUGAAACACGGACCAGGGAGUCUAACAUCUAUGCGAGUGUUUGGGUGUCAAACCCAUACGCGUAAUGAAAGUGAA
rnacentral:rRNA from 1 species